UAUCUUCUGCGGUGUUCGUAUUCAGGCGUGUGGUAAACUUGAGCCUAUACUGCACUUAUAUAGGGGACUAACCGCGUUAAUGUUGUGAUUUCCUUAAUUAGGAAACCUGAUUUAAUGCCCGCUGUUCCCACUUGAACCCAUGGUUCAAGUUCAAACCCUGUUACGCCACUGCGGUUGAUAC
rnacentral:other from 1 species